AAGUGUGUUUAUGCAAAUUCACCCUGUUAUUAAAAACAGCCUCUUGCAGUUUGAAGUUUGUGUCACACGACUGAAUCAAAGAGCAUGAUGAUGGGGCUGAGGGUCACUCAGUACUACAUCUUUGUUAUGAUGUUAACCAAAGGUGUCAGCAGUGAUGAGAUCAGACUGGACCAGUCUCCUGCUGUUGUAAAGAGACCUGGAGAAACUGUGAAGAUCUCCUGUAAGAUACACGGAUAUUCAAUGACAAGCAGCUACAUACACUGGAUCAGACAGAAAACAGGGAAAGCUCUGGAAUGGCUUGGCGAGAUGAGUACAGGUAAUAAUGCAGCAAUAUAUGCAGAGUCUGUGAAGAACCAGCUCACUUUAACAGAAGACGUCUCAGCAAGCACACAGUACUUAGAGGCCAAGAGUCUGAGGACAGAGGACACUGCGGUUUAUUACUGCGCCCGAGACCCAACAGUGACUGAAGCUGAGGAAGCAGCUGUACUAAAACCAGACACACAUUGUAACUGAACUAACUGAAGUUGCUUAAAUUAUAAUUGUAAGACAGAUGAACACGGUUUGUAUCUAUUUAUUGCUCCAAUUAUCUAUACUGUAAAUGUACCUGGAUAUAACCCUAAAGUGGGCGUGGCCUAAAAUAAUUAUCAGGAAUGAAAAUCUAGAUAAACCCUGUUUCUAUGAUCCUGGAAACACUUGAA